rnacentral:lncRNA from 1 species
AUGUCUUCUACUUCCGAAUGUACGUUUGGCAAAGAUAUUGAUGUUGCCAUUGAGUAAUAAUGUUGAGGUUCCCGUGAAUGAUUCUCGGAUCGAAAUUCAAAAAGUUGAUUAUCACAUUUUACCGCAAAAUCGAUUGCUUGAUUCAAAGUUUGAGGAUCAGGUAAGUUGAGCAUCAAUUUCUUUACUUCGUAUUGCAAUCCAUAAAGAAAUUGAU